GUGUUGAAGGGGAAGGGCUUGUGAGCAAUCUCUGAUCAGAAACUGUGCUUGCCAUCUGUCCUGACUGGGAAACUUUAAUAAAUAAAAACAUACAGAACGAGAGGUUUUGAGAAAAUCUAUUACCACAGGGACAUCUCUAAUAACCCAUUUUGUCUCCUGAGAUGCCUCUGGAGAGUUGGUUUAGACCAAUACUUUUGGAAAUACAGUGCAACAAUUUCUCACAUGACAAAUUGCUGCACAGAAACGCAGUUGCUAGACCAUUCUUCAGCUUGCGGAAGUGAAGAUUUCAGAUCAGUACACUUUUUCAUAUCCAUAAGGACAUAAGAAGUCAAAGAUGCAUGAUUAGAGGAUCUUUAUGCAGCAUUCCACUAAUCCAGUGGCACUGGUUCCUGUGUUAGAGGCUGGUGUUAUGCAGUAGAUCAUUUAAAAAGGACCACAAUGAUGAAAAGGACCACAAUGAUGAUAGAAGCAAGUCUACAAUCUCUGCCUUGUACCUACACCUCUUACCUCACUGACCAACCUGUCCAGGGAGGAGCAGGAAAAUCAGUGCUGAAGAGACUCUGUGCUUAUCAUGAAACAAGAUGGACAGCUUAAAUCCAGCAGGAAUACUUCUAGACAGAACUAAGGCUCCAAAAGAGUCCAGCAAGAUGAGUUUUUCAGCUAGACAGCUCAGCCAUUUCGGACAGCUUUGUGCAAGGCAGCAUCCUCUACAGUGUGAUCCACAAGAACAUUCCCUUGUCUUUCUCCAGUCAAAAAGUGGAUUCUUCCAAGAAGAAUGAUCUUCAAUCUCUGCCAGCUGGUGGGCUAUCAUUUCACAUUUUUGUUUUUUUAAUAAAUAGCAGAAUUAAUAAAUAGCAGAAUUAAU
ensembl:lncRNA